AAAUGCUUAGAAGUUGCUACCUGCAUUAAUCUCACUGAUCAGAUCGGUAUCCCAGGCUCUAAGGUAAUAUUUAAGUGUUUGCUUUAGAACUAUAAAAAUGUUUGCCCUGAAACCAGAAACCCCUCAGCCAGGAAAGAAGCAUUACCGAGUGUGAAAUACUAGUUUACAGAGAAGGUGUCAGGUCUUGCCCACAAGAAGGCCCAUGGGAACCAAAUGAGCCAAAGGAGAAAAGACUUGGUUGAUAGCUCACCCCACCCCAUGGAGAUGAGGCGUGCAAGUGGGCUCGUCCCAUCAGCGUGGACUCUGGGGGAAGGGAAUAAAAAUCCCUGAUGGGAAGGAACGGCAUCUUAUGCUGCUUGGACUCUGAGGGGCAAGAAUGUCUAAGCAAAAGCAAAAGAUCCCCAGGCUUGGCCUGGGUUAGCCCUAAGAGACAAACAGAGCUUGCUUAUUAGACAAGCUUUGAUUAGCUUUUAGAACCUCAUUUGUGUGUGAAUGUUUCCCUGUUUUAACCUUGUAAAUAACUCUCAUUUCUUUCUGUUAGUCAAUAAACCUUUCGCUAGUUUCUCAUAGAAUUGGCUACAAACCUUGUCUUUGGUUUGAGAUCUGAGGUGCAAUUGACCUGUGGGUCCCAGUAGCGCUCCUAGGCCUUUCGAUCCAUCCCCUUCCAGUGGAGGGAGCCUCUUCCCUCGGACUGACUCAAUCAGAGGAGGAAUCCAUCGCUUUGAUGGAGGCCCGUGCUGGGUGCAGUUGACAAGUUAUAAAGCUCAAACUCUUUGAAUCUCGUCUGUCAUUAAAUAUCGCCUGGCCACUCCGGCAGAAUUUUCUGCAACCAUGAAAAUUUAAAAUCAAUACAAGUAAUUUUAAAAAAGCUUAAAAAUAAACAUUGACGUUAUCCGUCAAAAGCAUACCAAAAUAAAAAUCACAUUCUGCCAAGCCUGUUAGCUAUCACACCUGCCUUCCUCCCAGCCGUACAGCCAAACUCUCCUCUGGAAUCUGCAACGCGGGGUUUGAAACAGCCUCUCUUGUGAGCUGUCCAGAGCUGCCCCCUGUGCCUAGGGCAGAAAAUACUACAGAAACAGCCUGUUUGAGACUGUCUCGCUUCCGGCCUGCAGAGGAACUUGGAAGUGCAGAGGCUGUGACAAGCAAGGAAACUACGGACAAGGAUGAUGGCCGCUUUCAAACCUCACAGCGUGUUGCUUUUAGGAUCAAUGGCAGGCUUGGACAGACUCCAGAACAGCCCGUACUUCCCUAGUGACAACCCCUUCUCAGAUGCCCAAAGUCUCUAGGAAAGAAAGAAGAAUUAAGAACAAUGCACACCCAGGUGCUUUACCAACGGCAGCUUAUUUCCCAGUGAUUGACAGCAACACUGCUUGGUCUAGGAAUCUGCAUGGCUGCUGAGAUACUGGUUGUGAAGGGUGGACACCAACAUUUGAACAACUGGGAGACUGUUUGCAGCAGGAGGCUCUGGUUUCUGAAUUAUUGUUCUGUAUUAUGUAUAUGCUCAACUUUGUACAAGGCAAAAAGGUUGCACUGUGAACAGGCCUAUAAUGAAUCCAGGCAUGCAGACACAAUUCUUAGAUGAAUCACACCAGAGCCAGGACUAGAACCCAGGAGCUGCAGAUCUAACAACUCAGGUCUCUGCUCUCACAACCUGUAUGGGUCUUAUGAAGGAGGAGCAUGGGUUGCCAGACGGAAGACGCACCAGGGAGUCAGUCUGUGUGCACAUGGCUGGAAUGCUGGCUGCAGUUGCAACAUCUCUGUAAUUAGCUCUCCUAAUAAAUAGCCAAUUUUGUUUUCCAA